AUCGUUCAUCCUCUUAGAGGACGGAAGUAGGUAAUGAUACCGAAGGAACGCAUC
ncrna:unclassified sequences Glutamine riboswitch